ensembl:lncRNA
GUUACUAAACCUGCAGAUCAGGUUUUGUUUGGUGUCUGACUCAGGAGACAUUUUAAAUCAUAUACAGACUUGAAUACAGAGGAGCACAGAGCGGACAAACACAGGAAAACUAAUGCUAUUCUUGCUUCAGAUUUUCUGUUGCAUUUUUUGUGUCAUGUGCAUAUCACUGGGCAUUGAACAGGAAAUGCAAACAUGGGACAAAGAUAACCGUUUCAUUUCCAAUAAAAAAAAGAAGCCUGGAAAGUUGUCAGGAGUCUCAGUGCAGCUUGGGAGAAGAAAGAGACAAGCUGGAAGAAUGCCCAGAUGUGGAUGGGAGAAUGGAGGUCCAGGUUUUCCCCUAUUUCACAGCUACCUCUUCAGGAGGUUGGAUUUAAAAAAAUGUUCCUCUGAGACUGAUGAAGCCAUUACCAAUAGCUUAUCCAGCUGCAAUGUCACAGGACAGCUGAAGGUGCUACUGUAUUGAACAGAAAUGAAAAGACAGAUGUCUGUGAUUGGAUAGCAGCAUACUAAUUACUGCACAGGAAGAAGGAAAACAAGAGAAACAUUUCCAUCCAGAGAGCCAAGCCAGUUAUGCUUUCUUGGACUUCUAGCCACAGAUGACUGUAGCAUUACGAGGAUUUUAAGCUGCAAUCUCCUGACAAUAACUGAAAAUCUUAGCUAAACCACUUAGGUGACGGUUCCCACUUGUUUUGCUCACAUUCUUCUUUAUUCUUGUGAAUGUCAACAGUCACAUUAUCAAUAAAGACAAUUGAACAAGCAGA